rnacentral:rRNA from 1 species
CUACGGGUCGCUGCAGUGAGGAAUAUUGCACAAUGGGGGGAACCCUGAUGCAGCAACGCCGCGUGGAGGGUGACGCAUUUCGGUGUGUAAACUCCUUUUAUAUGUCAAGAAAAUGACGGUAGCAUAUGAAUAAGCACCGGCUAACUCCGUGCCAGCAGCCGCGGUAAUACGGAGGGUGCAAGCGUUACUCGGAAUCACUGGGCGUAAAGGACGCGUAGGCGGGUUGGAAAGUCAGGUGUGAAAUCCUACAGCUUAACUGUAGAACUGCACUUGAAACUUCUAACCUAGAGUAUGGGAGGGGGAGAUGGAAUUAGUGGUGUAGGGGUAAAAUCCGUAGAUAUCACUAGGAAUACCUAAAGCGAAGGCGAUCUCCUGGAACAUUACUGACGCUAAGGCGUGAAAGCGUGGGGAGCAAACAGGAUUAGAUACCCGCGUAGUC